CGCUUCCUGAUUAUUUAUUGAUAUAACAAUAGAAUUAAAAUAUUUAUAGGAAGUCGGACCUGCCCGGUGACAGAUGUUAAACGGCCGCGGUACUCUGACCGUGCAAAGGUAGCAUAAUCAUUUGCCUUUUAAUUAAAGGCUAGUAUGAAUGGUUUGACGAGAGCUAAGCUGUCUCUUUUAAAAUAUAGAAAAACUAAUUCUUAGGUGAAGAAGCCUAAAUUUAAUUGAGGGACAAGAAGACCCCUUUGAGCUUUAGUGAUUUAAUAAAAACAGCUCCACUAUAUCGCUACGAUAUAUUAAUAUUAUAUCAAUAUAAAUACCAUUUAUUAAAAAUCUUUAGUUGGGGCGACUAAGGAACACACAAAGCUUCCUUUAAAGUUCAUUAAUAGAAAAUCAAUUUAUAAAAUGAUCCAGCAUUUUGCUGAUUAAAGGAAAAAGUUACCAUGGGGAUAACAGCGUAAUCCUUCUAAAGAGUUCAUAUCGAAAGAAGGGUUUGCGACCUCGAUGUUGGACUAAGAUAUCCUCUGGGUGCAGAAGCUCUUAAUGGUUAGUCUGUUCGACUAUUAAAAUCUU
rnacentral:rRNA from 1 species